AUGAAGGAAUGGCAGGGCACACCCAUGAGCUGCGCGAGGGUGGUGGACCGGAGCUUCCUCUCGGUGACGGCGGGGUCCUCCAGGAGCAGCACCUUGUCCUUGUCCUGCACGCCGGCCAUGUGCAGGUGGUCGCCGUCGUCCCGCUCCCGGCCACGGUAUAGCAGCCGCUGCUCCCUGGGCCACAGCCCGGUGGCCAGCGACAGCAGCACCUUGAGGUCGCCGAAGGUGGCGGUGGCGUCGAUGGACACGUCGUGCUGCCACGCGCCGCCGGCGGUGCAGACCUUCACCAGGAUGGCCUCGACCACGGCGUCGUCGUCCGGCCCCCGGCGCUUCUGCACGAGCAUCCCGCCCGGGCGCACCUCCCACUCGAUCCUCUCGUGCUCGGCCACCAUGGCGCACAUGUCCACCCCGCCGAUGCCGCCCGCCGUGCUCCUCGACCGGCUCCUGAACAGCCUCCUCGGGCUGGGAAUCUUCACCAUCUCCUCCUCUGCGCGCGCCCUCUGUUUCUCUCUGCCUGCCUCGUGUGUGUGUGCGUGA
rnacentral:rRNA from 1 species